AUGGACAUUUAUAAGAGUGAGGAGCUCUUCUGGCAGCGUCGAGGGGGCCAGAACUGGCUCCUUAAGGGGGAUGUGAACACUGCCUACUUCCAAGCGAUUGCUAAUGGUCGCAGGCGGAAAUGUGCCAUCCCUUUCCUUUGGGACGGGGAUGUUCUUAUGGAAAGCCCAGAGGACAUCUCCACCCAUAUUUACUCCUUCUAUAAGGAGCUGUUCUCGGCUGAGCCACGCGGAGGCGUCUCUCUCUGCGCUGACUUCUGGCUGCUUGCUGACCAGGUCUCCGAUGCGGAGAAUGCGGAUCUACUCCCCCAUUCUCCCCUGAGGAGGUGGGUCGAGCGAUUGCCUCUAUGA
rnacentral:rRNA from 1 species